rnacentral:rRNA from 1 species
CCUACGGGAGGCAGCAGUGGGGAAUAUUGCACAAUGGGCGAAAGCCUGAUGCAGCAACGCCGCGUGAGUGAUGAAGGUCUUCGGGUUGUAAAGCUCUGUCUUCUGGGACGAUAAUGACGGUACCAGAGGAGGAAGCCACGGCUAACUACGUGCCAGCAGCCGCGGUAAU